UGCGAACGCUGGCGGCGUGCUUAACACAUGCAAGUCGAGCGAAGGUGUUUCAAGGGUAACCUUGAGAUACACUUAGCGGCGGACGGGUGAGUAAUACGUGGAUAACUUACCUCUAGGCCUGGGAUAACCCCGGGAAACUGGGGCUAAUACCUGAUAAGACCACAUUGUCUACGGACAAAGGGGUAAAAGGUGGCUGUGCAAACAGCUAUCGCCAAAAGAUAGGUUCACGUCCCAUCAGGCAGUUGGUGAGGUAAUGGCUCACCAAACCAAAGACGGGUAGCCGGCCUUGGCGGGUGAACGGCCACACGGGGACUGAGACACGGCCCCGACUCCUACGGGAGGCAGCAGUGGGGAAUAUUGGGCAAUGGGCGCAAGCCUGACCCAGCGACGUCGCGUUGGGAAGAAGG
rnacentral:rRNA from 1 species